AUUGAACGCUGGCGGCAUGCUUUACACAUGCAAGUCGAACGGCAGCACAAACUUCGGUUUGGUGGCGAGUGGCGAACGGGUGAGUAAUGCAUCGGAACGUGUCCUGAAGUGGGGGAUAACGCAUCGAAAGAUGCGCUAAUACCGCAUAAUCUCUGAGGAGAAAAGUGGGGGAUCGAAAGACCUCAUGCUUUUGGAGCGGCCGAUGUCUGAUUAGCUAGUUGGUGGGGUAAUGGCCUACCAAGGCGACGAUCAGUAGUUGGUCUGAGAGGAUGGCCAGCCACACUGGGACUGAGACACGGCCCAGACUCCUACGGGAGGCAGCAGUGGGGAAUUUUGGACAAUGGGCGCAAGCCUGAUCCAGCAAUGCCGCGUGAGUGAAGAAGGCCUCGGUUGUAAGACUCUUCUAGUUGUAGAAGAAAAAUUAAGUAGACUAAUAAUACGUAAUUAC
rnacentral:rRNA from 1 species